rnacentral:rRNA from 1 species
UACGGAGGGAGCUAGCGUUGUUCGGAAUUACUGGGCGUAAAGCGCACGUAGGCGGCUUUUUAAGUCAGGGGUGAAAUCCCGGGGCUCAACCCCGGAACUGCCCUUGAAACUGGAGAGCUAGAAUCUUGGAGAGGCGAGUGGAAUUCCGAGUGUAGUGGUGAAAUACGUAGAGAUUGGGAAGAACACCAGUGGCGAAGGCGGCUAUCUGGACGGUUUCUGACGCUAAGACGCGAAAGCGUGGGGAGCAAACAGG